rnacentral:rRNA from 1 species
UGAGGAAUAUUGGUCAAUGGACGAAAGUCUGAACCAGCCAUGCCGCGUGAAGGAAUAAGGCCCUAUGGGUCGUAAACUUCUUUUGUAUGUGAGCAAUAAGGUCCACGAGUGGUCCGAUGAGAGUAGCAUACGAAUAAGCAUCGGCUAACUCCGUGCCAGCAGCCGCGGUAAUACGGAGGAUGCAAGCGUUAUCCGGAUUCAUUGGGUUUAAAGGGUGCGUAGGCGGCUUGGUAAGUCAGCGGUGAAAUUCCAGUGCUCAACCGGGUCAGUGCCGAUGAUACUGGGGGUCUUGAAUGCGGUCGAGGCCGGCGGAAUGUGGCGUGUAGCGGUGAAAUGCAUAGAUAUGCCACAGAACACCGAUAGCGAAGGCAGCUGGCCGGGCCUGCAUUGACGCUGAGGCACGAAAGCGUGGGGAUCGAACAGGAUUAGAUACCCUGGUAGU